rnacentral:rRNA from 1 species
UACGGGAGGCAGCAGUGGGGAAUAUUGCACAAUGGGCGAAAGCCUGAUGCAGCUAUGCCGCGUGUAUGAAGAAGACCUUAGGGUUGUAAAGUACUUUCAUCGGGGAGGAAAAAACAAAACUAAUAAUUUUAUUUCUUGACGUUACCCGAAAAAGAAGCACCGGCUAACUCCGUGCCAGCAGCCGCGGUAAUACGGAGGGUGCUAGCGUUAAUCAGAAUUACUGGGCGUAAAGAGCACGUAGGUGGUUUUUUUAAGUCAGAUGUGAAAUCCCUGGGCUUAACCUAGGAACUGCAUUUUGAAACUGAAAUACUAGAGUAUCGUAGAGGGAGGUAGAAUUCUAGGUGUAGCGGUGAAAUGCGUAGAUAUCUGGAGGAAUACCUGUGGCGAAAGCGGCCUCCUAAACGAAUACUGACACUGAGGUGCGAAAGCGUGGGGAGCAAACAGGGAUUAGAUACC